rnacentral:rRNA from 1 species
GAUGAACGCUGGCGGCGUGCCUAAUACAUGCAAGUCGAGCGAACAGACGAGGAGCUUGCUCCUCUGACGUUAGCGGCGGAAGGGUGAGUAACACGUGGAUAACCUACCUAUAAGACGGGGAUAACUUCGGGAAACCGGAGCUAAUACCGGAUAAUAUAUUGAACCGCAUGGUUCGAUAGUGAAAGACGGUGUUGCUGUCACUUAUAGAUGGAUCUGCGCCGCAUUAGCAGGUUGGUAAGGUAACGGCUUACCAAGGGAACGAUGCGUAGCCGACCUGAUAGAGGGACAGCCAACAUGGGACUGGGACACGGGCCAGGCUUCCUCGGGAGGGCACAAGUAGGGAACCUUCGGAAAUGGCGGAAGGCUUGCCGGACCACCGCGGCGGGAGGAAUGCGGGCCUCGGGAUCGAAAGCUUCUGUUAUCGGGACGAAACACAUGUGUAAGUAAAUGUAGAAGGAUUGACGGUACCUAAUCAGAAAGCCACGGCUAACUACGUG